rnacentral:rRNA from 1 species
GUGGGGAAUAUUGGACAAUGGGCGAAAGCCUGAUCCAGCCAUGCCGCGUGUGUGAAGAAGGUCUUCGGAUUGUAAAGCACUUUAAGUUGGGAGGAAGGGCAGUAAGUUAAUACCUUGCUGUUUUGACGUUACCGACAGAAUAAGCACCGGCUAACUUCGUGCCAGUAGCCGCGGUAAUACGAAGGGUGCAAGCGUUAAUCGGAAUUACUGGGCGUAAAGCGCGCGUAGGUGGUUUUGUAAGUUGGAGGUGAAAUCCCCGGGCUCAACCUGGGAACUGCCUCCAAAACUGCAUGACUAGAGUACGGUAGAGGGUAGUGGAAUUUCCUGUGUAGCGGUGAAAUGCGUAGAUAUAGGAAGGAACACCAGUGGCGAAGGCGACUACCUGGACUGAUACUGACACUGAGGUGCGAAAGCGUGGGGAGCAAACAGGAUUAGAUACCCGAGUAGUCC